UACGGGGGGGGCUAGCGUUGUUCGGAAUUACUGGGCGUAAAGGGUUCGUAGGUGGCCUGCUAAGUCACACGUGAAAUCCCUCAGCUUAACUGGGGAACUGCGUGUGAUACUGGCGAGCUUGAGUGCAGGAGAGGAACGCGGAAUUCCAGGUGUAGCGGUGAAAUGCGUAGAUAUCUGGAGGAACACCGAUGGCGAAGGCAGCCUUCUGGGCCAACACUGACGCUCAUGCACGAAAGCGUGGGGAGCAAACAGG
rnacentral:rRNA from 1 species